UUUUCUUUAUUUUUUUAUUUGUAAACCAUCUCAUAUAUCUUGAAUUAUUUCAAAUAACUAUCUGAUAUUCAAGUGGAAGAGGAUGCAUAAUUCUACUAGCAUAAGAGGAUCUACUAGGAGAAGCUGUUUAUUUGGUCGUUUAUGGUUGUCUUAAAAUUAAAGUCAGUGAGAUUAAUAGACUACAGCAAACCAACAAAGAGGAUGAAAAAAUAAUCCAUGAAAAUGAUUUUAUAUUUCAUAUUUUGCUGGAUUAUUUUUUGUCGUGUCUCUCUCAUCGUUGUUUUUUUGUAUAUUUAUAUUGAACCUUUUCAAUUAUUUAUCACCGACAACGCAUGCAAGAUCUUAUUAUUUUUUUAAAUGUUCUUCUCCCGGUCAUAAAUCUACAUGAAAUAUUUGCCACUGUGCGUUCAGACAACAUAUAUCAAUAAAUCUUAUAUCCUAUAUUUGUAAAUUGCAGUAUUAUAAAA
rnacentral:lncRNA from 1 species